AGCAACUAAGCGGAGUGGAGAAGAACUUUGAUAAGGUUAUGCUAUGUGCUCCAUCAACUGAGCAGCGUUGGGGUUCGGGUGUUCUUAAAAUGACUGAAACAAAAGCUGAAAGAAAUAUACAAAAGAAUGUAAAAGUCCAAAAGGAAAUGCUAUUGGCAGCUAUAGACAUGCUCAA